UGCUCAUUCCACAGCCCUUAUCUUUCCAACCUCACAAAUUUACACCCACACUGCAUCCACUACACACAAACAGACAAACUGCAUCCACCACACACAAAUUCUGCAUACACUACACAUACUAAAUCCACACAUGCACGCACUCACACUGCAUCCCCUACACACACUCUGCAUCUACUACACACAUAGCAUUUACUACACACACAUAACACUCACUACACUCAUACAUGGCAUUCACUACACACACUCUGCAUCCACUACACACACACAUAGCAUUCAAUACACUCAUACAUGGCAUUCACUACACACACUCUGCAUCCACUACACACAAACACAUAGCAUUCAAUACACUCAUACAUGGCAUUCACUACACACACUCUGCAUCCACUACACACACAUAGCAUUCACUACACUCAUACAUGGCAUUCACUACACACAUUCUGCAUCCACUACACACACACAUAGCAUUCACUACACUCAUACAUAUCAUUCACUACACAUACGACAUUCACUACAUAUACAUACUCUCUAUCCACUAUACAUACACUGCAUCCCUUUUACGCCAUGCACAGCAGCCUUGUGGGUGAACUUCUGUGGAUGGACCUGAGGACCAACCCCUGUGGGCCCAGGCAUUGAGCUGUGUAAGAGGCCUCAAAAUUUCUGAUGGCACCCUGAUGGGAGGAUAGAGAUAGGCACCAUUUAUAGUCAAUGUGUACAUAGUUCUGGCAGAGAAAUGUGCUUCUCUUUAAGAUAAAAG